rnacentral:lncRNA from 1 species
GCCCUCUCUCUUAUUCUAUGCCAAUCUUCUCUUAUUUUGUGUGACAAAAUCUCUCUCCCAGGUCUUUCCCAUGUCCAAAAGAUUUUCUCUCUUCUUUCAUACAUGGAAAGUGAUUGUAGAUCAAAUUAAAGUAGAAAUAAGCUUGGAUUUCAAAUUCUAUGAGAUAGAGUUUUAGAAAUCCAAAACUCUUUCUUUUUUGCACCGAAUUUAUCUAGAUUUUUUUAAAAAAAUUUUGUAGGUUUGAGGGUAUAUAUUGUGCACCCUUUUCUGGUGGUCCAUGCAUGAAAAUAAGGAGGAGGCACCCAAGAGUUGGGCGCCCCUUAUCUUGCC